AAUUAUAAAUAAAUAUUUUACAGGAUUGCAAUUGUAUUUUAGUUUGUCAAACAAAUUUUUGUUUUACAUAGUUGCCGAAAUCUAGUUCAAAUUUUGGAGAAAUAAGAUUUAGUGAAUUGAUAAGAAAUGUAUUUAGGUGCGUUUUACUCAUUUUUAAGGGAUUGGAAUUGUAUUUUGGUUUGUCAAAUAUUUUUUGU
rnacentral:sRNA from 1 species